UCGAACGUGAUCCGGGGCUUGCUCCGGUGAAAGUGGCGGACGGGUGAGUAACGCGUGGGAACCUGCCCAGUGGUCGGGGAUAACUGCGGGAAACUGCAGCUAAUACCCGGUAAGCCCUUUGGGGGAAAGAUUUAUCGCCAUUGGAGGGGCCCGCGUCGGAUUAGGUAGUUGGUGGGGUAAUGGCCUACCAAGCCUACGAUCCGUAGCUGGUCUGAGAGGAUGAUCAGCCACACUGGGACUGAGAUACGGCCCAGACUCCUACGGGAGGCAGCAGUGGGGAAUAUUGGACAAUGGGCGCAAGCCUGAUCCAGCAAUGCCGCGUGAGUGAAGAAGGCCUUAGGGUUGUAAAGCUCUUUCGGCGGGGACGAUGAUGACGGUACCCGCAGAAGAAGCCCCGGCUAACUCCGUGCCAGCAGCCGCGGUAAUACGGAGGGGGCUAGCGUUGUUCGGAAUUACUGGGCGUAAAGGGCGCGUAGGCGGCGCGAUAAGUUAGGCGUGAAAGGCCCGGGCUCAACCCGGGGACUGCGCUUGAUACUGUCGCGCUGUGAGUCCGGGAGAGGAUGGCGGAAUUCCCAGUGUAGAGGUGAAAUUCGUAGAUAUUGGGAAGAACACCGGUGGCGAAGGCGGCCAUCUGGACCGGCACUGACGCUGAGGCGCGAAAGCGUGGGGAGCAAACAGGAUUAGAUACCCUGGUAGUCCACGCCG
rnacentral:rRNA from 1 species